CAUCUAACAUUAUCCUAUACUAAUAUCUUUUUCAUUAAGAGCAAAGAAACGGAAGGAUCUGUCCAGUAAGAAUAAUAUUUCUCCACAAACCCAGCAGGAGACAGUUGUUAAGAAUGCUGUCUUCCGCUACUCAAUUCCGCAAACAAUGAAGACGACCAAGGAGAAAAUAUCCACAUUCAAACUCACAUUUGAUGCUGCAGAAGUGAAGAGUCUGUGGCAGUGUUUCCACAAGGAUGGAGAAAAUGAGAUUACAGAGACGGAGAUGCUUAGCUUUCAUUCCGGUCUCAAUAUGCACAUUGAGGCGAGUCUAGGGCUGAAGGUUGACCAACUAGACCUUAAGGAAGUGACACUACCCUUUGUGUCUCUAUCUGCUGGAGGCAAGAUUAGAAUUCAAGAUGAAGCCCAUGUCAAGCUUAUACUUAGACAUUUGACCGUGAUGUGCCAGGGUGAGAUGCUGACAGCAAACCCUUGUUUGGGAGAUGCUGAAGAGACAAUUGAAUAGUUUGGGAGAUGCUACGGAGAUUAUGGAAUAUUUUGGGAGAUGCUGAGGAGACAAUGAAAUAUUUUGGGAGAUGCUGAGGAGACAAUGAAAUAGUUCAAACCUAAAUAAAUAGCCAAUUUAUCUUUAACUAAAUCUUAUCAUUCAAAGCUGUCCCAAGGAUCUAAAAAUGCAAACAUUAUCCAUUAGCUCGAUCUGUUUUUUUUUAUAAAUCACAAAAGAAAUAGAACAAAAACUUUGUAUUUUUAUUAGAAUUAGUUACAUUCAUAUUUUUUGCUAACUAACUUUUUACAGAAAAGAUUUGAACACUUUUUAUUUCGUAUGUUUAAGUAACAAUCAUCUAAUUUAACAUGUCAAUAAGGUUAAUGAAUAAUCAUCAUUUUAAAUAAUUUUUUCUUUCAAAUAAAAAAUAAAUUGGUUUUGUAACGACGUGUAAAUUCGAUAAUAAUGGUUUAAAAUAACUAUUUUUUUGUGAAGUGCUGUGUAACUUUCCUUUAGAACAUUUUAUGUUUAU